UACGUAGGGUGCAAGCGUUGUCCGGAAUUAUUGGGCGUAAAGAGCUCGUAGGCGGCCUGUUACGUCUGCUGUGAAAUCCCGGGGCUUAACCCCGGGCGUGCAGUGGAUACGGGCAGGCUGGAGGCAGGCAGGGGAGAACGGAAUUCCCGGUGUAGCGGUGAAAUGCGCAGAUAUCAGGAGGAACACCGGUGGCGAAGGCGGGUCUCUGGGCCGAUACUGACGCUGAGGAGCGAACGGG
rnacentral:rRNA from 1 species